ACGCAAGUCGUCCAGCAAGGGGGGGCACGCUCAUUGCCCCCACCUCUCCUAAAGCGCUUGCCAGAGAAAACCCCCGAGGUGGUUUGAGGCCGCGUUCGGCUCCUCCCGGACGCGGUUAUAGAAUCCUCGUACAGAA
rnacentral:snoRNA from 1 species